CCGGACUGGGGACUCGGGAAUCCCGCGGGCUGAUUCCGCGCUGCGGCGCUCGGGCUCCGCCUCGGCCUGGGGCUCCCCGCGGGGAGGAUGAGCCGGGAACGGGCGGAGGGGCAGGGCUCCCCGAAAGGCAUCCCUCUCCCCCCGGGUUCCAGAAAAGGGGGCUGUGAGCUGGGGAGGGGAGGGCCGGCCCGCGCAGACCUGGAGCCCCCUGGGGUGCGGGGAGGAGGUGUCCCUGAACUUGGCCGCCCCGGAGGCUUCUGGUUUCUCCCCCGCAGGCUGGUCCGGGGAGGCGCGGGGCGGGCGGCCGUUUCUCCUGGAAGGGCCAGCAGCCUGGUCCCCCGCCGAGGCCCUCGCCGGCCCCUUCCCGAGACCUCGAAACUUCCAGAGCCCAGGGGGAAUCCUCACAUCCAGCUAGAUUGCCUCCCAGCCUCUCAGAUGAUCCUGAGAACCGUAUCUUUGCAGCAUCUUCUCCAGUGAGGAGAGUCCACUCAGCAGUGUCCUGGGCUUGUUCUGCUAUUCUGUGAAACCUGCCCUGACAACCAAACAUUCAACCAGCUCCAUCCAUCUCAGCAGCAUUUCUGGAGGCCAGGCACUGGGUGGGAUCAAACCCAUGCCCCCUGCAAUGGAAGUGUGGAGUCUUAACCACUGGACCUCCAGGGAAGUCCAUUAACUCAAUUUUUUAAAAGAAAAAAAAUCUGAGACUGAAGGAGGACAUUGGGCCAGACCUUGGGACUCAAACGGAUAAAACAAACAAACAAACAAAAAAGUCUUGCCCUCACAGAGGUUACAUUCUAAGGAAGACAGACAACAAACAAAAUCACAAAGUUGGAAGGGGGCUAGGAAGUGUCGGGGCCAGGGAAGUUGCUGCAGUUUUGGAGAGGGAGGCCAGGGGGCACUUCUCUGAGAAGAUAAGCUUUUCUGUAAAAGACUGACAGGAAGCAGAUGUGUAACUGCCUGUCGGCUGCUCCCCCCAAGAACUCCAGAAAGAAGACAGCCUAGACCGGGGAAAGCGACUCAGGUGCUAUCUGCCAUCCUUGAAGUAUUCCAGGAGGGGAGAAAAACACAAAAAGUGAAGUUGAUUCUUUUCCUUCUCAACAUUCCUUUCUGUUCUUUCUGAUUUUGCCCUAGGCCGUUUCUCACUUCUCCAAUCUCCUGCAAGACUCACCUCUCUUCU